rnacentral:misc_RNA from 1 species
AACGGUCUAUACCUGCGGUACCUGCGGAGGGAUCAUUAACAAUUGUCCUGUUUUUAUGGAUAAUUUUAUCCAUAUCCACCUUGUGUGAACUAGAGAAAUGUGAGUUGGCAGGUUUUUCUCUUGUGAGAGAGGAUAAAGGUGCUUCAGUUGAGGCGCCUUACGAGAAAAAUUCUCGGCCUGCCAAUUUUUAUAAGUCUCAACUCGUCUGUAACUGUUUUAUGACUGAAAAUUUUAAAAUUA